rnacentral:rRNA from 1 species
AGCGAACGCUGGCGGCAGGCCUAACACAUGCAAGUCGAACGAAGUCUUCGGACUUAGUGGCGGACGGGUGAGUAACACGUGGGAACGUGCCUUUAGGUUCGGAAUAACUCAGGGAAACUUGUGCUAAUACCGAAUGUGCCCUUCGGGGGAAAGAUUUAUCGCCUUUAGAGCGGCCCGCGUCUGAUUAGCUAGUUGGUGAGGUAAAGGCUCACCAAGGCUACGAUCAGUAGCUGGUCUGAGAGGAUGACCAGCCACAUUGGGACUGAGACACGGCCCAAACUCCUACGGGAGGCGGCAGUGGGGAAUCUUGCGCAAUGGGCGAAAGCCUGACGCAGCCAUGCCGCGUGGAUGAUGAAGGUCUUAGGAUUGUAAAAUCCUUUCACCGGUGAAGAUAAUGACUGUAGCCGGAGAAGAAGCCCCGGCUAACUUCGUGCCAGCCGCCGCAGUAAGAC